UACGUAGGUGGCAAGCGUUUGUUCGGAAUUAUUGGGCGUAAAGGGCGCGUAGGCGGUUUGCUAAGUCAGUUGUGAAAGCCCGGGGCUCAACCCCCGGAGGGUCGGCUGAUACUGGUGGACUAGAGUACGGAAGAGGUAGCUGGAAUUCCCGGUGGUAGCGGUGAAAUGCGUAGAUAUCGGGAGGAACACCUGAGGCGAAGGCGGGCUACCUGGGCCGAUACUGACGCUGAGGCGCGAAAGCCAGGGGAGCAA
rnacentral:rRNA from 1 species